rnacentral:rRNA from 1 species
GAUGAACGCUGGCGGCGUGCCUAAUACAUGCAAGUCGAGCGAACGGACGAGAAGCUUGCUUUUCUGAUGUUAGCGGCGGACGGGUGAGUAACACGUGGAUAACCUACCUAUAAGACUGGGAUAACUUCGGGAAACCGGAGCUAAUACCGGAUAAUAUUUUUAACCGCAUGGUUCAAAAGUGAAAGACGGUCUUGCUGUCACUUAUAGAUGGAUCCGCGCUGCAUUAGCUAGUUGGUAAGGUAACGGCUUACCAAGGCAACGAUGCAUAGCCGACCUGAGAGGGUGAUCGGCCACACUGGAACUGAGACACGGUCCAGACUCCUACGGGAGGCAGAAGUAGGGAAUCUUCCGCAAAGGGCGAAAGCCUGACGGAGCAACGCCGCGUGAGUGAUGAAGGUCUUCGGAUCGUAAAACUCUGUUAUUAGGGAAGAACAUAUGUGUAAGUAACUGUGCACAUCUUGACGGUACCUAAUCAGAAAGCCACGGCUAACUACGUG